rnacentral:rRNA from 1 species
CCCUUAGAUGUUCUGGGCCGCACGCGCGCUACACUGAUGCAUUCAACGAGUUUCUUCCUGGUCCGAGAGGAAUGGGUAACCUUUUGAAAGUGCAUCGUGAUAGGGAUAGACUAUUGCAAUUAUUGGUCUUCAACGAGGAAUUCCUAGUAGACGUAGUUCAUCAGACUGCAUCGAUUACGUCCCUGCCCUUUGUACACACCGCCCAUCGCUCCUACCGAUUGAAUGCUCAGGUGAGCCAUUCGGACUUUCAUCAUGCUGGUUUCCAGUUUUGAUGAAGGAAAGUCUUGCGAACCUUAUCAUUUAGAGGAAGGAGAAGUCGUAACA